UGAAUAACUGCUAUCAACAAGCUGCUCUGCAAAUUUGAUUUUUAUUUGCUGCAGUACAGGUGAGUUUCUACUACUGUGUUCCUUUGCUAAACUCACCCAUGUGCUGGCAUUAUUAGAGUUGGGCACAGAAGCCAUUCCCCCUCACACUGCUUCUUGCUGUGCUUGCUCUCAGGAGUGACAUGAUUGUUUCUGAUGGCUGGAUGACUCCAACUCCAUCUUAAAAGUCCCACUGAAAUUUUGAUUUUUUUUUUCUCUUGGGAGACAUAAAUAUGAAUUACAUAAAUAGGAAUGAAGAACUCCAGAAAUGAUUAAAUAAUUUCGUUUCUAUGCAAACAGGCCUUAUGGGGGACAUUUUUUAAACAGUAAACAGAAUUCUUUCAAAUUGAUUUCUUGGGUGCACAGAUUAUUUAAUUUCUAGUCUUCACCAUCACACAGGUUUAUUGCAAUGUCCAUAGGAAUAAACAGCAGAACUGGAGAUCCAGAGCCCUAACAUGUCUUCUACCAACAAGGCAACUCUUCCUGUUCAAAAGGGACUCAAAGCACCUUUAAUGCCUGCAUGGAAGAAAGACACUUAACCAGAAGAUUUUCUUGAGAGAUAAAGAGGAUGCAGAUCCAUACUGGAAGAUGGAGAAGCCAAAUCCAGUAACGUUCCAUCUGUUCUGCAGGCACAAAGGAAGCUGGUACCUCCUCCUGGUGCAAGCAUGAGGAUGACAGAACUGAGCCAAGGCAUAGGUGAUGCACAAGCCUCAGCCUGGCUUCUGUGUGACUCCCCUGGUGCAGGCACCUGCUGCUGGCGUGGGCUGCCUGCCUCGCCUGCUCAACACCCUGUCCCUAGAAACCUGCCUGUCAGUGCAAUUGCUUUGGCAUCUCUGCUGCUGAAAGGGUGGACACCCCUCACAGACAGGUGAAUGCAGCAGUAAAUGAGGAGCUGAGGUCUCUUCCUAUCAACAAGCUGCAACUCCAGAAGUCUCUACUCCAAGGUAAACUUCAGGUACAAGGCUUCAUGCUAUUUACUUCUUGAAGUGGUCGAUGUGUUGUCUUCCCUGAAGCUGUAUCACAAACAGCAACAUGGUGCCAGUUAUGAUAUCCUAUGUUCCUCCGUCUUGCUGCAAAAAUUGGGUUUCCCCAUUUAUCUGACCCUACAGGGAAUUCAAACUGACUUAUUAUUGUAGAAAUACUGUAUUUCUGCUUUGUUUUGCUGAAGUAUCACUCAGUUACUUUGGGAGUGCAUAUAACUACUAAUAAUGAAUAAUAAUAUUGUUCAAUCUGAAAGAAAUGCUGAGAUGACUGGAAGCUCCUUCAUUAUUUCUUUGAAAGCAAAACCCAUGAUUGUCCCAGACCCAGGUCAUGGUAGUUCCAGAUAACAGCAGGAGUACUACAGCUUGCAGCCUCUGUUUCUGGCCCUCAUGAGCUGUGGGUAGUCAUGCUGGAAGCUCACACCCAGUCUGCCUUGGCUGCAGUGGCUCCUGCUGGGAAAGAGAGGGCAAUUUCAUCUCUGUUCUGGGGCAAAUGUAGGCUGAAUCACAUGGUACAUGUUCCUGUGAAUCACGCUGUUUCUAUAACUUUCAAGUUCCUGGCGCUAAGAACUGCACCUCAUUGCAUUUUCCUCUAGAAAAUCAGUGCAGCACCUGAAUGUGAGGCUAAAGGAUGUGCCUGAACAGUAAUUCUGUGUCUACUCUCAGCACUCACCCUUAAUCCAAGAGAGGCAGGCUAAGGUGGUCCUGCUGCUAAAGCUGCCAUUCUUGUUUUAUGUUGAGGCAAGGCUAUGUAGAGUAGGUACCCCAAGAUUAUUAAAAUAUGCCAGUAUUUCAAGGAGCAUGGGAGGUCAAACUGGGCCAAUAUAAUUUGUUGACCUUUUAUCUAUGUUUCUUUUCCAGCUGGGUCACUAUGAAUUGUUACAUGCUAGAGAAAUUUAUCUUGGUUUUCUUACCCAAGCCUCAGUAAAUGGAUUAUGACCUCUGUCUUAUAGCUGUCACAGACAGGAUGACACUUGGGCAUUGAUAUAUGACGUAAAGAGUGUCUACCUAUCAGCACAAGUCCUGUAGCUGAGACCACAAAAAGUAUGUCCACAACAAGGGAUCAUUUGUUUUGUGCCAAAAUUGUUGACCAGACAAUACCAUCUUUGCAAACAGAUUUAAUUGUCUCCAGUCUUGGUGAGACCAAGGAAGCAAUCUGUGCACAGCACUUCAUCCGUCCUCUUCCGCUCAUCUUCUUUUUUGUUUCUCUCCUGACACAUCCCUUCUGCUUUCAUUGUAUAAACUUGCCAUUGUUAUUAAUGCCUUGCUCCUUGCUCCUUCCUGCUUUGACUUAAUAAGGCAAGAAGAGAGAAGCAGCCCCCACUAAAGAAAUAAAUAUUAUUAAUACAUGGGGAUGAAAACUACACUCUUCUUGGGUUGUAGGCUACCACAUUGUCACUGUGUUCCUGGGAGAGACAGAAAAGACAGCUAAAGUCCUUAAACUACCCAUAUCAUAUAAGCUAUAAUAUCCUCAAAAGUGUGCCAAUGAGUCCCAAGUAUCUUGGGCAGAUGAACCUGUUCCAGCAAUAAAUUUCUUGUCUGAGCUCAUCCUGCUUGCAAGGUGACAGGGAUGUGUGCAGUCCUUUGAUGCAGUGCAGGCCUUAAGUGUGUAAGCGUGGUGUCAGAGGACAGCUAUAUUUACCACAAAUGCUGCCUGUGUAGGAAAAAAUGGAGGCUUUCCCUGAUGUGAACUGCUGUGAGCUACAAGUUUCCAUGUAUCAGACUGAGUGCACCUGGAAAGGGUUCUCAGAGCAUAGGACAGUGCAAAUAAAAUGUCAAAAAGACUUUGAUAUACUGGAGAACAAGAAAAGCAGGAAAUGUUUUAUACAUAAGAAAUGUUUUCAGUUUAAAUUUCCAAACAUGUCAUAUAAUUGUGUAAGAUUUUCAAUUUUUAAUUUUUAAAGUUCAUUUUAUUCCUUUAGCAUUCUUAAAAAUGUGAUCCAAAUUCUUCAGAUCUGAAGAAUCCAGAUAAUGUAUGUGUGAACAUCCCUUUUUUUCAACUAUGAUUUUUAUCCUGAAAAUUAUGCUGUUUGCACAACAGUCACUUCCCUUACAGUUUCUGAACCCUUUGUUUUAUGUCAGCCAAGUCUGACGGGGUCUCCAGGUCUCAAAGAUAUUCAGAUUCGGAAAGUUCCAGACAAAUCAGCUAAGUGGACUCAAAUGAAUUCUUCUUCCAGGGAAAUUUAAGUAAAAUAACUGUUACUCCCUCUUUCCAGCAUGGGUCACCCACUGCAUCAGAAGCCAGGCAGCAUGCAUAUUGGAGUUUGCUGUCUCUGCCUUGGGGUGGCCAAUGGGGAAUGUUAUGCUGUUGGAAGGAGUUAGAUGAGCCACCAGGCAGGCACAAAUCCAUAGGAAAUUACAUCUCCUUGCUUUUCUUGCUCCCAGGAAAAAAAUGUCCAGACAGUCCCAGUACUGAGUCUCCCGGCUUGGAGGGCAUAAUGAAUGUUGGUCUUGCUGUAGUCCAUCAUCCUUUCUCUCCAAACAGCCUUAAAUAUAUAUUAUGAUUAGUAAAUUAAUGGAAUUUUUGUGCUGUUUGAACUAGUAUUGAUUGGUAUUGAUUCCACUCCAAAAGCAAUAUGAGGCACAGUAGUGUAUCAGGGACCUGGAAAGUCCCAGAUUGUUAUGUGUUGGAAGGGCACAAUAGGAAGAGGAAUGAGCUCAUAUGGCCGCUACUACAGAAAAAAAAAAUUGGAGAAUCACUUCUAGUGUUUUCUACUUUUUAUUUUUCAUGUUUGAUAAAAGACGAGUCCUGAAAAAAGUUCUCUUGAAAUAAAUGUUCCCAGGCUAUUCUAUUUUCUAGUGUGGAAGAGCUUAUUAACAUUAUCUUGUAUUGGCAAAGGACUUGCAAGUUACAACAGGAUCGAUUUUUAGCUGCAGCAUAGAAAAAGCCUUUAUCUCUUCUGAGAAACCUUUGUGAGAAGAAAUGGCUCAGCCAGCAGUCAGUCCUGGUUCUGGAGCCAGGUGCUACUGCAGGGACCCACCGUCAGCGGCACUGGAGCCCACCUAGAGAUGGGAUCAGCCAGCCACCACUGCAUCUUUUUGAUGGAAUUUUUUUUCCACCUUCCUUUCAAAGACCUGUACCACAUGCAUUUCAGGUGGUAGUUCAGCCUCUCUUCUACUUGGUAAAGGAUUUGUUGUUAUAGCUGUUUGACAAACAGCUGAGAUGCACCAGGGAACAAUACAGGAGAGACCAAAGUGCUGUGGAGUGGCAUAAACACAUGCAAGCAUUAAUGCUACUUAAGGAAGACUAUGACCUUGCAGUGACCUGGCAGGUGACAGACAGAGCCUGUCUCAUGAACUGUAUCCAGACAAAUUUCCCGGUUCACUUUUUCUCUGUUGCCUAAUCCUUCUCAAUGACACUUGGAGCAAAGUAGCUGUUCUGAGACUCCCAAACAGUUGCAGACAUGUUGGGUGCCAGGGCCCCAGGCAGGAUUUUAAACCACCUAGAGCUUGAGGUGAGACUACUACACCAUGCAGGACCUUUGUGCCGAAUCUCUGGGAAGAUUAAUUUCUGCUAUUUUUAUUUGCAAUGCGGUUGUUUUGGGUUUUGUUUGUUUUUUAAUAUGAGAUUAUGCUUCCUAGCCAUCUCUUUCUGCUUGGAUGAGAAACAGCAAAUGGAAUGCUGCACAGCACACCACAUGGCCACAAAUGUCUGAUCACAGUCAAUGAACAAUAAUACCAAUAUCUAGUGUUAGAAAAUACACCGUAGAGAAUGUCUGUUUAGUCAUCCAUCCAUCAUUCUGCAAAGGGAAAGGGGAGGUAAAAGGAAAGGCAGGAGGCUCCCCUUUAGCGCACAUGCAACACACGCACACAACUUGCCAGCUGCCCUUCAAGGUGAUUGAUGCUAACAAGUGUAAAGAGAAGACCUCUGGAAAUGAUGACAUGGUACCUGAUCACCAGCUUUAUAGGAAUAGAAAAAUAAAUUUGCAUUAAAUAAAUCAUUAACUGUGAUGAAUUCAUUUGAUUUAGCAGUUAAAAGCUUGUACCCUUUGUUUUCUUGUGUAUUGCUGGGACGUACAUGUUGUUGAAGCACCAGAAAGCGGAAAGAAAUUCUGUAAUGAUUCAGGCUUUUUGUUAAUAUUUCAAAUCCCAUUUUAUUCACAUGUAUCUGAAAGAUGGUAAGAGAGAUGAUAAAAUUGACUAAGCAUUCCUUUCUUUAUGCUAUUUCUUGUCAGGGUAGGCUGGCCAUAUUUUCAGAUGUACUCCACAGCAGUCCCAAAAUAAAGGUGUCUGACUGUACAACCACAUUACACACAGCCAAUGCAAGCAUGAGCAGUCCUGCCUCAGGGACACAGUGUAAAUUUACACUUAUGCUGACUCUAGACUGCCGUCCCCUGGUAACCUUGGAUAGUCCAGGGAUUUUGCACCCCUGUUUCUUCAGGCCAGCUGGCAACAUACACCUACCUAGACCAAGUUGAAUAAAAUAAGAUUUGACUGCUCUGCGAAAGAAAACAUAGUAUGAACAAUAGGGUGACUCAAAGUUAUCAGUAUUCCACUGUUAUUUAUGUUAGGUGUUAUUUCAGGCUGUAUUUAUUUAUUUUAAAAAACCCCAAACACUUAACUGAUGGGUUUGUAUGCUGUUUGUCCUGUUACAUUGUGUUGACAUGGGUAAUUGGGCCAGGACAGGAAAUAUCAGUAAACAACAAAAAUCUCUAGAGGUUUAUUUCACUUUCAAAUCUCUCUACAUUUGAUUUUAGCUUUGAACUAAACCACAAAAGCAGUAAAUUUUGAAAAUGUAAAAAAGAGCAAUGGGUUAGAACUUUAGGGAUGUACAGGAUUAUGCUUUCAAUGAGGAAAAGUGCAGGGCCUGGUUAAUGUUUAAAGGCUUUAAGAAUAGUAGACACUGAAUUUUUUUUUGUUUCUGUGAAAACAAAGAAAUAUAUACAAACACAUCUUUUUACAAUGGUUAAAAGACGCUGGCAUGUAGAUAUAAAUCAAUUUAGCCUAAUUAACUACUUCAGAAACAUGACCACAGCUAUCAACUGAUCAUUAAUAUUAAAAUACUCUGAUUUAAUACUAUGAAAUCUCAUGUGAGAGUCAGAAGUUUCUUUUUUUGAUAACCUCUUUUACCACUACAAUAUUUUCACAUGCUUUGGUCUUUUAUUUAACGUUAGCUAAUACAGGAUGAGCUCUAAGCUGGUCCAUUUUCCCAUAUAAAGUCCAGUAGCCCUGGUGAACCCGGUGUCGUAGGAUUCAGCAAGCAGCUUUCCCCCAGCCCAGAUGACAACCUCAUUAUCCAUCUUUCGAAAUAUUUCAGCUGUGGAAGUGAUACACUUAUGUAACAUGUACUUGAGAAAAAUAAAACCAUCUCUGCUUUUAAAGAGAAAUGCUCGGCACCUCCUGCCACCACUUAAUUCUCACAAUUUCUUCUUUCUCUAUAAAGUGUAAACUAGAAAAAUAUCAUGAGUGAAAAAUAGUGAUGACCAGGAAAUAUGAAAUAGAAACAAAAUGGCAGAUGAGAACAGGGGAUAAUGCUACCUUAAAGAGAUACCUAAAAAUAUUCCAGUUCUUCUCAUUUAGCAACAACCCUCAUAUCACAUCACAGCGUUUUCCAUUUUACCUGGAGCCACUAUCUCUUCAUGUAAAAGGGAGCAAUAUAACCAUGUAUUAAACAAAACAAACACCAAUUUAGUGUUUCUGUAACCAGCAACCAUAGGAACAGCAGCUGGCAGUCAGUGUGUCACCCACCCAUGCCUCAGGGCCUGAAAUGGCUGCAGGACUUGUGCCCCCCACAAGUGCAUGGUUUCCAUGCACAACAGUUGCUUCUCUAGCAUUGCAGAUACAGGGGAUUCUUUCCAAUGGCCAGACUUGAAGAGGUCAGCCCUGAAUCAAGGGUUUGUCUCUGCUAUAGCUGCAGAGAUGUAGCUGCUGUGAGGAUGAAGGUGUUGGAAUGGAUGGUGCCUGCAGCAGUGUGCUCAGCCAUGUGCUUGGUGGAAACACAGAAAUGCUAAAGACUGAAAUCUACUGCCAGAUCUUUGCACAGUUUCUCAUACAUGGACCUCCUGCAGAGGUAUCUAGGCACAAAAGUGCCAGUGUAGACGAGGAUUUUAUGUUACAGCUAUUGAUAAUAACUGGAACUGCUCUUCCAAAAGCUCUAAUGCACUGGGAGGCAAGAAGGAAUGUGGUUUGGCAGGCAGAGUGGGCCUGAUUCAACCAACUGCUUAUGUGUCACUGAAAUCAAUGGUGCUAUUUAGGGGCUUAAUUGCUUUGCUGAAUCCAGGCCAAAGAGACAAAAAGCAAGAUGGUUAAGCUGCAAAGCUUGGAUAUAUAUCUUAAAUCUUGAACACUUAUAUCCUUUAUCAAUAUUAUGAUUCUCCCCAAUUCACAGUUGCUCAGAAAAGUUUCAAAGGAAACACAUGCCUUACUUUUUGGCCCUGACUUAGCAAACAUUUUGUUGUACCAUUAUUCAUGUAGAUGGUGCCAUAUUCUUAAGAACAGAAAGACACAAGUGAAGUGCCACAACAGGCUGUUUUUGCAGGUCAGAGCUGUAUUUAAUGUCUACAGCAUUUAAGCAUUCCUACCAAGGUUAUACAACUGCUAGAGACAUCUGGACCUAAUACUGAAAUGUUCCUAUUGCAAUCUGUGUGUGCGUGAAUAUUCGUGUGCCAAAAUAUUUAUUUAAAACUGUCUUUAAAAGAAAGAACAAUAAAUUCAAGGAGUUAUAA